AGUUAUAUAAUUUUCGUCGAAGCGUAUCGUCGAACCGCUAAUUCAUCGCACCUUUAGUGUACGAUGAGAUCUGCUUUCCAUUACGUAAGUGUCGACCCUGUCGUCAUUUGUUUUUCCCAAAGUGAGUGAAAUUGGGUAUUUUCUCCAAGUGUCGCAACUAUUGUGCAAUUUCAAGUUAUCUGUACAGAUUGCUUUUCGACUAGCGAAACGGUCUAAAAAUACACCCCAUUUUUGCCAGUUUCCUUGCUUGUCGGUUUUUUUCAUACGAACAUCAUAUCAAUUAGAGUUAAUUAUCAACUUAUUUUCUUCGCGGCACAUGAUCAUCUGUCUUGUUUUUUUGUCCUGGUAUAUCCCCCAAAAUGCGAUAACACUCACGACGCUUGACAGCUGCCAGAGCACAUAUAGCCCAGAUUCCUACACGCGAUCAGGCUUCAUUUGCUCAUUAGCAAUGUAGUCGGGUUUAUUCUAUCUCCGGGAUUAAUUGCUUAGCGUAAACAACUAAUUCUGUAUCAAGUCAACAACAGUUUUCACGGAAAGUUCCACCGUUUUAAAUUGCUUUUACCGUAAUAACGUAUAGGCACGAUACGGCUUACACUGCUCGCAAUGAUUUUCUGAUUACGUCGAAACAGGACGUAACCAAUUCGCAUAUUUGUGUGUUGGACGGUUUAACCUAUUCGCAAAUUUACAAGGUGCAGGGAAUAUCGACCUAAAUAGAACUAUGACGGAAGCGAAAUCGCCAGCGGCAAACUGCUCAGCUUUUAGUUAAGAUAUUCUCACAAGCUUUGCUAAAUUAGUUUUAACGUCUUAUUCAAUGAAGCGUGCGAAUAUUUUUCUUUGUACUUGUAUGACUACCGCAUGAUCAAAAAUAAUGGCCAAUUUACACCGUAUGUAACGGCCGGUGAACAAAGCUUUAGAUGUAGCUUUCCGUUUUCUUAACCGCUACAGGUGGCAGCACUGGUCGGCUGGAAAAGUGGUUGGAAUUGAAAACAAAUCAAUUUCACGAGCAUCGUAAAAUUGAUAGAAGAGUGCAUGUUCUUAUCUCAUUUUUACUUUUAUUUCUACUGUCAUAUGUAUACAUGAAUCUGACGUACCUUGCGUGUGUGCUCUUGCUCAUUAUUAUAUAAGUUUAAUUCUUCAAUUCUGAUAGGUGAUUUCCGGUAACCACCCAAUUCGUUUGUCACGCUAUCCCCCUCUUUAAUUUCAUUUGAUUGUUAGAACAUUCCAGAUAGAAAAAAGCCGAGACGUAGGAAGUAGAUUAUAAAUAAGUACAAAUUAUAUACAAGUAUUGUAUAUUAUAUGGGAUAUUAGAUAAUUAAUUCUGGGUUGUUGCAAGCAAAUCGCAAAGAUCGACAGAGGCGAGGACUAUCAAUAUUUUGGUCUAAUGAAUACUAUGAGCAGUUUUAUUCUACUCGUCUCUGGUUGUAUUCUGCUGGCAAAACGUAACGACACUUGUCACCUAACCUAACUUAAUUUAACAAACUGAUAUCGCAUCCUUAGUUUAGAUAAGGUUGAAGCUUAUAACUGCUUUUAUGAAAUUCCAGCAAUGCUUACAAUUCAAAGUAGAAGCUAUUUUUGGGAUGGCUAUCUAGUAAUUGCAUCACGAAAUCGACGAUAACUCGUGCAAAUAUAUUAUCAAUUAGCAAGAAAUGAUUUUAGUAUUGUUUCAUUAAUUGCACUAGAAAAUUGUAAUUGAACUGCAUGAAUCAUUAUAGCUAUGAAGAAAUUGAGAAAAUUAUAGAAUGUAUAUUAAAACAGAAUUCGAUCGGCAAAGUUUUGGAGAACGAAGUAUAAGAUUAAAUCUUUUCAACACAUUUAAAUAUUUAAACUUGACGCUAAAUCUGAAAUACUAAGAACUGUAUUUUUUGUUACAUUGUGAAAAGUAUGUUAUGUAUCAUCACUAUGAAUAAAGAUGUGCUGAAAAUUU
rnacentral:lncRNA from 1 species